CCCGGGCCGUGUCCCUUGCCUCCCACCCCCACCCGGGGGUUGCGCCCAGGUCUGGAGCCCCCGGGCUGCGCUGACGUUUCCUCCGGGGCUGUGGCUGGACCCCACCCCCACCCCCGUCCCCGGGCUGCUGGACUCGCCCUGGCCCAGCUGCCGCCCCCGGCUUGCCCAGCCCUCGCCCCUCCAUUCUGGGCUGCGCGGACACUGCUGCCCCUCCCCCCCAAGCUGUGCUCUUCCCCCCCCCCCCCCCCCGCUCCGGUGGCUCUGACUCGGCCGCCCUCUGCCCCAGGGUUGCUGUAGUCCCUCCUCUCCCCACGCCGGAGCUGCUGAACCCUGGCGCUGCCCUCCCGUAUCUCAGGUCCGCUAACCCUCCCCUGACGCUGCCCAAGGCUGCUGUAUCUUCCCUCUCCCCAGCCUGAGGCUGCCCCCUUCCCCAGUGUUGCUAAACCCUUCCCCCAGCCCUGCUGCUGUACCUUUCUCCUCCCCAUCGCUGCCCUUGAGGCAGCAGGGAUUAGUGCCUCUUGUGGAGGGGCCACUUCCUUUCUCUCUCUCCUCCCCUUAGUCUCUCCAGGCUGUCCCCCCACUCUCCAGUGCACGAAGCCUAUUUCUCACUGCCCUCAUAUGCCUCAGGCUGCUCUCAAGCCUGAUCUGGCCCUGGCCAGGCUUGCUCCACGGCUGCACUCCAGCUGGGGCCCUAUGUAUGACCCACUGGUGGGGAUAAGUGACCUAACUCCCCCCCCCCAAACCUGUUCUUGCAAAAUGGAAAGAGCUAAAAAUCUUCCUUUAAAUGAACCUUGCUUGUGGGAGUCUGUCUCCCAGGUGAAUGGGACUUGGACAGAUGCUUGGACACAACAAAGCAACAAGUGGAUGCAUAGCAAAAUCACAGCUAAGAGCUGUCACGUGCCUGCAAUGGAAGUAACCUGUGAUGGUAUAGGAGACUGCAUCCUUACCUGUUUAGCUUAAAUACCUUAUCUGUGGCUGAAAUGCCAUGUGAAUGUUGCACCUUUCUGAUGGGGGUGUGUGGUGGGUUUUUUUUUCUUUCCCUGUGAAGUGCCUUAUGCUCUUGAGACUGGUAAUUCCCAAGAGUAUGGUGCUAGCUAACACUUGCAACUAAUAACUUUCCUAAUUGGGUUUAAUGAAAGAGCUGGAAACUGUGCCACUAUUCUUGCAAGUCUGUAUAUUUGAGUUAAUGAGGUAGAUUGACCUAAUUAUUGUAAAUACCCGAUUCAGCAUUUUCAUAAAACCAUGACUGCUUAUAGAGGUAUUUGCCUUGUCUAUGUAGUAGUUUUAGAAGGGUCUUCUUUAGAAUACAGCAUUAGAUUUGUACUAUGACUUCCAUUUUUCAUGGUCUCUCUAGAUAGUCUAGACUCAGACUUGCAGUUCAGUUUCAGAAAAGACAUGUUUUCUCUCUUUGUGUAGCUAUAGUGCUUGUGAAAGGUGCCAACUUGACAGCCCUGGAGACUGCAGUCCUCUAGACCAAGUACCGCAGCAGUACAAGUCUCUCCACACUGCUUCAUCAAUGUCACCCAACACCUAGAGACCACUUCUAAGGGUCAGAGGAUAGCUUAGUCUUUGUGGCCUACUCAGUCUUCUGCCUCUUUGCUGAAACUGCCAACAGGACAGUCAAUUAAUGCCAAGAUGUCUUAAAACUGUAUAAUCCUACAAGAGCACUGUACUUCAUCUGUGUUGUAACCUGUUACUGUAACUCCCCAUGCCUUUUAAAAAAAAAAAAGGGGGGGACGGAACAAGGGUGUAACUCCCACAAAGGUAGGGUGGCUGUUUAAGUGGUGAACUUAAGUAAACCUAACUUAGCACUGACUUGGGAUGGAAAGUCUUGGCUUUUAAUGCUGUCAAAUUAUCCAAGUGUUUUGGGGUGGGAGGGUGAAAGAUCAAACCAAACUUUACUUGUAUUUAGCUAUGACACUCUUAGUACCUUUCCCAGAUCUGAAGAAGAGCUCUGUGUAAGCUGGAACACUUGUCUUUCACCAACAGAAGUUGGUCCAAUAAAAGGUAUUGCCUCACCCAUCUUGUCUCUUUAAUACUAGCAUACAUGCUGUUCCGAGCAAUAGUGAAGACCCUGUUGACCAUGGCAUCUAAGUUCCCAGGAAGAGGGAAACAGUUAUGCCUCAGGCUUGUGAUGUCAUAACUGUGGGAAAACAAGUUAUUUUUAGUCCAGUAUUUUGAGUGUAGAUACUUGCACUAACCAUUAUUUCAGAAGGUGGCAGCAGAGUUUCCCAAUGAAAUAUGCAGAUGCUCCUCAUUAGUGACCAGGGUGUUAACAUGUUUAGAAACUUAAGUUUCCUGCUAGUCUGGAAUUCUAUAGUCAUUCCAAACUCAAAUCAAGUAAUAUUUCACUUUACAUUUUGCGCUGAUGGGUCAUUUCAUUCUGACCUAAAAGCAUUUUACAAACAAACCUCAUGACGUCCCUGUAAAACAGGGAUAUCUUUCUUUCAGAUGGGGAACCUGAGAAACAGGUUAAGUGAUUUGCCCAAGGUCCUACAGAAAGUAAGUGGCAGAGCUGGGAACAGAAUGUGAGCCCUGCCUCCUAUUCCUGUGCUCCUGCCACUAGAUCGCUUUCCCUUCAUAGUAUUCUAUAUGUAACAUUAAUAGUCAAAGGCUGAAUAUAAAUUGUUUUGAGCUUGUUCUCCCCCCCCCCAAAAAUCUGUUUAAAGCAGUUAUUUGGGUACUUAAACAAGUGUGAGAACACCUCAAUCUGGUCACUUCUGCAUUUGUUAACUCUUCUGGUGAAGAGGGGGAGUGAGGAAAACCUUUGCAGAAAUAAUCCAGGAAAUGAUCAGUGCUAGCACAAGACUCUUAAUGUUACAAGUCACAUGCUAUCCUUCUAAAUGGGGGUACUUGUAGUGUUGUCUGGAAAUGCUGUUGAGCUGUAUUCAGUAUUUUAACCCCUCAAGCUAAGGUUAUUUCUUUAGAGAUCAUAGUUUCAGUUAACAAAACUAGUGUUCCGGUCUGUAGGGUGUUGCCCUAUGACCAUAUUGUACCGUUUUGGAGCUACAUUCUGUGUGCAUUCCAUUGCCUUUUAUCACCUUUACUAAUGCAAGGUAGCCACUCGAGCAUAGAUACAGUAGCGAGGAACUGAGUAGGAUCUUAAGGAUGAGAGGAUGCAAUAUAAAAUCUCA